UACGAAGGGGACUAGCGUUGUUCGGAAUCACUGGGCGUAAAGCGCACGUAGGCGGAUGUGUCAGUCAGGGGUGAAAUCCCGGGGCUCAACCUCGGAACUGCCUUUGAUACAGCACGUCUCGAGUCCGGAAGAGGUGGGUGGAAUUCCUAGUGUAGAGGUGAAAUUCGUAGAUAUUAGGAAGAACACCGGUGGCGAAGGCGGCCCACUGGUCCGGUACUGACGCUGAUGCGCGAAAGCGUGGGGAGCAAACGGG
rnacentral:rRNA from 1 species